AUGAACGCUGGCGGCAGGCUUAACACAUGCAAGUCGAGGGGUAUUUAUCUUCGGAUAGAGAGACCGGCGCACGGGUGCGUAACGCGUAUGCAAUCUACCUUUUACAGAGGGAUAGCCCAGAGAAAUUUGGAUUAAUACCUCAUAGUAUAUAGACUCGGCAUCGAGAUUAUAUUAAAGUCACAACGGUAAAAGAUGAGCAUGCGUCCCAUUAGCUAGUUGGUAAGGUAACGGCUUACCAAGGCUACGAUGGGUAGGGGUCCUGAGAGGGAGAUCCCCCACACUGGUACUGAGACACGGACCAGACUCCUACGGGAGGCAGCAGUGAGGAAUAUUGGACAAUGGGCGCAAGCCUGAUCCAGCCAUGCCGCGUGCAGGAUGACGGUCCUAUGGAUUGUAAACUGCUUUUAUACGAGAAGAAACACUGCUACGUGUAGCAGCUUGACGGUAUCGUAAGAAUAAGGAUCGGCUAACUCCGUG
rnacentral:rRNA from 1 species